rnacentral:misc_RNA from 1 species
GAGCAGUGCCAUGCUUCUGUACUGUGUAAAAUCACUCCAAUGUCAUUUAAUUUUGAAAAGUAAAAAUUCUUUUUUUUUAUGUAUGUUUGUUUUGUUUGUGGAAAACAUUUAUGUGUGGGUUUUAAAAACAGAUUAAUGAUCAUUGGAGUGGUUCAAUCACUGGUAUCUUACUAUAACUGGGAAUUUAAAAAAAAGAUAUGAGAAAAAAAUAGUUAGUGAAGAAUAGAAAAAAAAUUCAAUUCCCCAUAAAAAAAUGAAAAAAAAAUAGAUUGAAAAAAAAUAGAUUGAUAAAAAAGAUGACAAAGAAAUGGGGAAAGAUUGAUUAAAAAAGAAGACAAAGCAAUGGGGAAACGGGGGAAAGAGGAAACAACCAUUGAAACCUGAGAAACCUGACUAUGGGAGCAACAGGACUGACACUGGAUCAUCAUUGUGAAUGAAUUGUCUAUGUAAUCAUUUUAGUUUUCUUAAUAAAGAUUAAAUUAAA